rnacentral:rRNA from 1 species
AUUGAACGCUGGCGGCAGGCCUAACACAUGCAAGUCGAACGAGUGGCGGACGGGUGAGUAAUUUCUGGGCAACUGCCUGAUGGAGGGGGAUAACUACUGGAAACGGUAGCUAAUACCGCCAACCAGCCGGUGUGCCCAGAUGGUAUUAGCUAGUAGGUGGGGUAAAGGCUCACCUAGGAGACGAUCCACAGCUGUGCGGAGAGGAGGACCAGCCACACUGGGACUGAGACACGGGCCAGACGCCUACGGGAGGCAGCAGGGGGGAAUAUUGCGCAAUGGGCGCAAGCCUGAUGCAGCCAUGCCGCGUGUAUGAAGAAGGCCUUCGGGUUGUAAAGUACUGUCAGCGGGGAGGCGUUACCCGAAGAAGAAGCACCGGCUAACUCCGUGCCAGCAGCCGCGGUAAUAC